AAUCAACGCUGGCGGCGUGCCUCAGACAUGCAAGUCGAACGCGAAAUCCCGAGCAAUCGGGAAAGUAGAGUGGCGCACGGGUGAGUAACACGUAGGUAAUCUACCUUCGGGUGGGGGAUAACAACCGGAAACGGUUGCUAAUACCGCAUAAUGCAGCGGCACCUAAUGGUGACAGUUGUUAAAGCGGGGGAUCGCAAGACCUCGCGCCUGAAGAGGAGCCUGCGGCGGAUUAGCUAGUUGGCAGGGUAACGGCCUACCAAGGCAACGAUCCGUAGCCGGCCUGAGAGGGCGGUCGGCCACACUGACACUGACAUACGGGUCAGACUCCUACGGGAGGCAGCAGUCGGGAAUUUUGGGCAAUGGGCGAAAGCCUGACCCAGCAACGCCGCGUGAAGGAUGAAAUCCCUCGGGAUGUAAACUUCGCAAGAACGGGGAGAAUAAGCCGGUGUCAACACCACCGGCGAUGACGGUACCGUUUGUAAGCUCCGGCUAACUCCGUGCCAGCAGCCGCGGU
rnacentral:rRNA from 1 species